UCAGAUGAAAUUAUAAAAUGCGAUAUUUUGAUAAAUUCAGAACAUGUAGAUGAAUAUCCACGAGCCGUUGAAUUAUAUUUGAACAACAGUAUUUUGUUUAUGUUAAAUUGGCACAAACAACUAUUAAAAUUGAAAAACACUGUGGCAGAAAUAAUGGCCGGAAUCGUAUUGAUAUCGAUCAUAUGGUGGCUAUUGUAUUUGUAUUAUAUAAUAUUAAACUACAAAUCUACAGAGUAUUUUAAUAAUACAAUUAUUAAUGAAGCAAUGAAUUAUAUCUACUUCAUAAUAUUAUAUGUGAUCAGUACGGUUGUCGGGAGAGUGACAAAAUUAACCGUCUA